CAAGCAACUUACACACUAAAUAGUAGUGAAUUAGGGAUAACCACACACAAGAAGGAUUUGGGAAUUGUUAUAGACAACAAAUUAGGCAGCAAUAUGCAAUGUCAAUCGGCAGUUGCUAAGGCCAGUAAUGUUUUGUCAUGUAUAUAUAUAUAUGGGCAGAGGUUUUUGGGAUGAAAAUAUAUUUUUGCCCCUUUAUAAAUCGCUGGUAAGACCACACCUUGAAUAUGAUGUGCAAUUUUGGGCACCUGUUCUAAAGAAGGAUAUCAUGGCACUAGAAAAAGUACAGAGACGAUCUACAAAAUUGAUAAAAGGAAUGGAGCAUUUUAAUUAUGAAGAAAGGUUAAAACAUUUUAAUCUCUUUAGUUUGGAAAAAUGGUGCCUCAGAGGGGAUAUGAUAACAUUAUUCAAAUAUAUUCAGGGCCAGUACAAACCAUUGUCUGGAUAUCUGUUCAUAAACAGGGCUAUACAUAGGACACAAGGUCACACAUUUAGGCUGGAAGAAAGGAGAUUUCAUCUAAGGCAAAGAAAAUGUUUUUUUUUUUACAGUAAGAACAAUACGGAUAUGGAAUUCUCUGCCUGAAAAGGUGGUUUUAUCAGAGUCCAUGCAGAUGUUUAAACUGCAAUUGGAUAAAUACUUGCAAAAACAUAACAUACAGGGAUAUAAUUUCUAAUUAGUGGGGUAAUAGCUGCUUGAUCCAAGGAGAUAACUGCCUGCUAUUUUGGGGUCAAGAAGACAUUUUUUCCUAGCUUGUUGCAAAAUUGUGCUUCAAACUGGUUUUUUUUGCCUUCCUUUGGAUCAACAGCAAAAACAUAUGUGAGGAAGGCUGAACUUGAUGGACGCAAGUCUCUUUUCAUCUACAUAACUAUGAAUUAUAAAAGGGGGGGAUGUAUUGUCUCCCCCUAGUCCCUACCCAUG